rnacentral:rRNA from 1 species
CACGUAGGGGGCAAGCGUUGUCCGGAUUUAUUGGGCGUAAAGAGCUCGUAGGCGGUUCGGUAAGUCGGGUGUGAAACCUCCAGGCUCAACCUGGAGAGGCCACCUGAUACUGCUGUGACUCGAGUCCGGUAGGGGAGCGUGGAAUUCCUGGUGUAGCGGUGAAAUGCGCAGAUAUCAGGAGGAACACCAGCGGCGAAGGCGGCGCUCUGGGCCGGAACUGACGCUGAGGAGCGAAAGCGUGGGGAGCGAACAGG